rnacentral:rRNA from 1 species
AAAUUGAAGAGUUUGAUCAUGGCUCAGAUUGAACGCUGGCGGCAGGCCUAACACAUGCAAGUCGAACGGUAACAGGAAGCAGCUUGCUGUUUCGCUGACGAGUGGCGGACGGGUGAGUAAUGUCUGGGAAACUGCCUGAUGGAGGGGGAUAACUACUGGAAACGGUAGCUAAUACCGCAUAACGUCGCAAGACCAAAGAGGGGGACCUUCGGGCCUCUUGCCAUCGGAUGUGCCCAGAUGGGAUUAGCUAGUAGGUGGGGUAACGGCUCACCUAGGCGACGAUCCCUAGCU